rnacentral:rRNA from 1 species
GAACGCUGGCGGCGUGCCUAAUACAUGCAAGUCGAGCGAACAGAUAAGGAGCUUGCUCCUUUGACGUUAGCGGCGGACGGGUGAGUAACACGUGGGUAACCUAUCUAUAAGACUGGAAUAACUCCGGGAAACCGGGGCUAAUGCCGGAUAACAUGUUGAACCGCAUGGUUCUACAGUGAAAGGCGGCUUUGCUGUCACUUAUAGAUGGACCCGCGCCGUAUUAGCUAGUUGGUGAGGUAACGGCUCACCAAGGCAACGAUACGUAGCCGACCUGAGAGGGUGAUCGGCCACACUGGAACUGAGACACGGUCCAGACUCCUACGGGAGGCAGCAGUAGGGAAUCUUCCGCAAUGGGCGAAAGCCUGACGGAGCAACGCCGCGUGAGUGAUGAAGGUCUUCGGAUCGUAAAACUCUGUUAUUAGGGAAGAACAAAUGCGUAAGUAACUGUGCGCGUCUUGACGGUACCUAAUCAGAAAGCCACGGCUAACUACGUGCCAGCAGCCGCGGUAAUACGUAGGUGGCAAGCGUUAUCCGGAAUUAUUGGGCGUAAAGCGCGCGUAGGCGGUUUUUUAAGUCUGAUGUGAAAGCCCACGGCUCAACCGUGGAGGGUCAUUGGAAACUGAAAAACUUGAGUGCAGAAGAGGAAAGUGGAAUUCCAUGUGUAGCGGUGAAAUGCGCAGAGAUAUGGAGGAACACCAGUGGCGAAGGCGACUUUCUGGUCUGUAACUGACGCUGAUGUGCGAAAGCGUGGGGAUCAAACAGGAUUAGAUACCCUGGUAGUCCACGCCGUAAACGAUGAGUGCUAAGUGUUAGGGGGUUUCCGCCCCUUAGUGCUGCAGCUAACGCAUUAAGCACUCCGCCUGGGGAGUACGGCCGCAAGGCUU